GCCACCGCGGCGACUUGGCGGCGGGUGCCAUGCGUCUGGAGCUUCACAUUCUCUGCCCCCCACCCACCGCGCCGGCGCUCCCUUGUCACGCCUCGGGAAGCGCGCACCUGCCAAGCAGGAUGAAUAAUCUGAUAUCAUGUGAAAUGAGGAAAUAAGAAGCUUUCUGCUGACUUCAUUUUGACCCAGGGUCCAAAAGGUGAUGUAAUCCUGUGGCAAGAAGAUUCAAAACUGUGGACUAUCUUGCAAAAAAUACAAGAAGAUAUUGAAAGUUUUCAUGAGUGCCUACCACCUAAUCUCAAACACUAUCAUUCAUAUGUGCCUCAUUGAGCAAAUCUUUAAUGAGGAUCUAUAUGCCAGCAAUAUCUUUUGCUUGGGAGCAGAAACAGAAAGUACAUGAUGGACUUCAUUGAAGGAUGGAGAUUUGGAAGACAUGAAUGGAUGAAGAACCAAGUGCGUGAGGGCACCUAUCAGGAUUAUUGCUGAAAUCCUUAUGGAGUUAACUGGCUGAGAGGAAGUAGAGAUGGGGUUUCACCAUGUUGCCCAGGCUGGUCUCAAACUCCUGAGCUCAGGCCAUCUGCCCGCCUCGGCCUCCCAAAGUGCUAGGAUUACAGAAGGUGCCUGCUUCCCCUUCACCUUCCACCAUGAUUGUAAGUUUCCUGAGGCCUCCCCAGACAUGUGGAACUAACAGGUUUCUCUUAUUGCCUGGAUCCAAGAGCAUCUCCUGGGUUCUUCCUGUUAGAAUACUGAAUGUCCAUGGAGAGUUUAACAUAAGGAAGAAGAGGCCUGUCUCCCAGCUGAAACUGGUGCAGCAGAUCAUGCAAAGUAAAACCUCAGCAGCUGUGAUGAAGUAGAGCAGAGGGCCUGGGUGUCUGUCAGCUCCAAGCGGAAGAUUUCCCCAGCUUUCUAGAUUUCUGACUUCAUAUCUGUGGGAUCCACACAAUGGGGAGGUACUGGCCUUGGAAUCCAUGGUUCCCCAGCUAUCAUUUUACUUUAGAAUUACAGUGUUCUCUGUUAGUGUCAAGGGAAUGAACCUGACGAGAAAAGACCAAACAUAGGACUGUUACAGGGAAGAAAAAUAUGAAAAGACCUAAAGAUGCACGUCCUCAUUAUAUGUAAGGAAUCUAUUUCCUAGAAUCCUAUAAAAAGCUCAAGUGAAUUUGCUUCAGUUAAUAAAUGUGAUUUAAUUAUAAUGAUAAUGCCACA
rnacentral:lncRNA from 1 species